rnacentral:lncRNA from 1 species
ACAUAACAAUUUACAUUCAAGGAUUUAAAUCAAAGGAUUGCAAAUUUGUAAAUUGGAAUGAAAAUAUACUUAUCUUAGAAAACAAGUCACACAUUACAUUCAAAAGACAAAAUCUCAUUACAACAUCAAAAAUACUUGAAAAAAACCAAAGUUACAAAUUACGUAAAAUAAACAUUUUUGACCCAUGGUUGGCUUUCGGUCGAUUGUUGACUUUUGGUCAAACUAAUCCUAAGCCUACUUUUGUCUUUAUCCUCAUUGAUUCAUCACGUGAUCCUCAUAAUGUUCUUGAUGUCAUGCCAACUUUGAUAAUCCCAUGCCAAAACCACUUCAUGACCAAGACUCCAUGUAUGCCCAAACCUGCAUGUUUCAAACAAGAACAAGCAUCAACAUUAAAACAGUCCUGCAUAAAACAUCACCUACACAUUGCAAGCCAUACAUUUCAUUCACAUCAGACUAAGCCAUACAUUCAAUGCCCAAAUUCAAAACCAAACCAAGCAUUUAAAACUACACAACUCAACCCAUACGCAUACACAAGUAUACCAUGACAAUUCCAUGUUACCAAGCUUGUAAAUCCAUCACCAUUGCAGCAACACAAGAAAAUAAUUCCACAACACACAUAUCAUCAUAACAUACAUUAAAUCAUCCACCUCAUAGUUACAAUAACCCAAAUGCAAUGCAUCCUAAAGUCAUACCAUACAUCAAAACAACCAUACACAUCAACAACUUAGUACACAUACACGUACAUAAUAGUUUGGAUAAAGCAUACAACCAUAUCUUAAUAUAAACAUAUCAUUACAGCCCAUGCAUCAUGGCCUAAUAUAGACUAUAAGCAUCAUCCACUUUAAAACAAAAGCAUCAUGAUAUCAAUCCAACCAAUAUGUUAUGAAUCAUCAUAUCAAAGACCAAUUCAUUCACAUAAAUCACUACACCAAAGUUCAUCACACGUCCAAAGUCAUCACAGUGCCUUAACUUUAACUAUUAAGAUAACUAACCAAAUCAGUUAGCAGCUAAACCAAUCCAAUUGCCCUAACCAAUUAAACCAACCCCUAACUGUCAGUUUAGUUAACACAUAAGCUAACUAACUUACCAUCAAAGUUAGUUGCAAAUUAACUUGUAGCUUCCAAUAACUAACCUAGUAGAUAACUCUUACUAACAUAAUAAUUCAAACAUUCACUAACAAUUCAAAAAAAUAGCUUAACAAGUUAAUCUUAUUAACUAUCACAUUUCUAACUGUCAAACAUUAACUAAUAGUACCCUAACUCUUUUAUUUAUCAGUUCAGUUAAAUCCUAACAAACACCAACUAACUAAAAUACUAAUUCAAUUAGCAUAACAUCAACUAACAUAACUAAUUGAUCCCUCCCCAACUAACAUAACAGUUCCACUAAUGAAAUUAUAACUAAGUCCAAAAUUUCUAACUCAAUUCCCAUCCAAUUUCCAACUAACUGUCAAACUAACUAUGUUAGUUAACCUAACUAAUUUGCUAAUGAAACUAACUAAAUUUAACAACUAACCUAACUAUAACUUCCUUUACCCUAAAGUUACCUAAAAUAGUUAUGAAUCUCCUUCCAUAUUCGAUUUUCAUCCCCUUUAUAUAAACUACACUCUCCUCAAUCAUCUUCAACAACAACAAUUCACUCUCAUCAAAAUUCACCAUCACUCUCACUAUGCAAACUCUCUUCAUUCUCUCUUCUCACAGCCUCACAUCCAUACUCAAAACUCAAAUCACCAUUGUUGAGCAAAAAUUCACCUUGAAGUUUUGGUUCAAUUGAGAUAAGCCUUGCCUCUCUACACUUUUCACUCAACAACAACAACCGCACAUAACAAUUCAUAAAAGAAGAAAAAGAAUAUGAAUAAGAAAUCAAAAUAAGAAGCAAUGGAUUCGAAGUGUUUACCUGUUAGUAUAUCUGGUCUUCUCAUCUUCAACAAUUUCAAAAAUUCCCAGGACGUGCCUCUGUUAUAUAGGUAGGAUAUUCAUUUCUCCCUUGUUUUGCUCCAAAUUGUUACCGGUAUGUAGACGUUAUAGAGGGUAAUCAAAGCCUAGAGGUUUCAUGUUUUGAUUCCCAUCACACUGUGUUUAAUUUUAGUUUGUGUAUUAUAGGGUUUUUGGUGUUUUAUGUUUGAAAUGAAGGGUUUAGUGGAAUUGAGUUGAGUUGAGGGUAAGAGGUGCAUAUAGGAGGUUAAAACGAAUCAAUUGUGGGGGGUUUUGGCCGUUUUUGGGUUGCUCAGUCGCCUCCGACGCAGUGGAGCAAUUUCCAGUGAAGGGACAUGUAGAAGAGGAUAUGAGCAUUUGCUUGAAAUGAAAAUGAAAUGAGUGAAGUCUGAGACCUUUCACCCAUUUUCCCCAUGCAUUGGGCUUCAACUCCAAGCCUAAAAGGCUUUGCUAUCUGAUACACUUUCUUGCUAACACACCUCCCACCUCCUGAACUCAAACAAG